GCUCCACUUUCCUUUUAUUUCCCGCCGCCACGCCACGCGCACCUCGGCGAAGGACAAGGCUCCGGCUGCCGCCACCGCCUCUGCCCCGGCUAUAAAGCCGCGCCCUUUGGCCGGCCCGCUCCUCCUCCUCCUCGCUUCGCCCGGGCCAUGCCUUCCUCCUCCUCGCCGCGCACUGCCCGGUCUGCUCCUCCUCCUCUCCUCGCCCUGGCCGUGCCUUCCUCCUCCUCGCCGCGCCCUGCCCGGUCCGCUCCUCCACCUCCUCUCUUCGCCCCGGCCGCGCCUUCCUCCUCCUCGCCGCGCUCCCGCCGGUCCGCUGCUCCUCCACCCUUCGUCCGGGCCGUGCGUAUGUCCUCCUCGAGCCGGAUUUCAUCUUGCUCGUCCUCCUCGAUCGAUUUGCCCAUUUAGAAGAGCGUCUGGAUUUGAUUUUGCUCGUCCUUUUGCCCGUUUAGAGUCGCGUCCGGAUUUGAUUUUGCUCGCCGUCACCGUCGCCGUCGCCGGUUUAGAUAGCUAGAGAACCCCGCCUGAUUUGAUUUUGCUCGUUCUCGCCGUCGCCCGUGUAGGACCGCGUCCAAUUUGAUUUUGCUGGUGUGCAGUUCGUCAGUUUAGAGUCGCUUCUGAGUUGAUUUUGCGCUUCCCCGCCGUCGUCGGUUUAGAGUCGCUUCUGAUUUGGUUCUGCUCGUCCACGCCGUCGGCCGUUUUCGUCUUGCUCGUCCUCGCAGUUGCCCCGACGCGCUCGCAUGUUCUUGGUCCUGUCUCGUCGAGGGUCUCCCGUCUGGUUUGCGAUCGAGAAAUUUCUGCGUGCGCUUCUGUUAUCUGAGAGACGCUUUGGAUCCCGCGUUUGGUGUUCGUGUCGCCGCGAGCGUUACAGGAAUGGUCGGGUCUUGGUUUUGAAAUUGGGUUCCGGCCGGAGAUGGAGAGACGGAGAGCAGUUGUCAGUUUGGCGUGCUAGUUCAGAUCGGUUCCUAGGCUCCUGCGUUGUUCGUCGGUUGUUGUCUGAUCUCAAACGGCUAGCUUGUUCGUGUUAGCCUAGAUACUCUGGUUCCUAUGUCGAUUCUGAUUGUACCAGCUAGCUUGUUUCACUUUCGUCAGGCUAGAUGCAGGGGUGAUUUUGUUCUGAUGGGUGUUGAUUUAUGUUCUUUUCAAUUCAAUUGGUUGGUUACUUCCUAUCAUGCUCUGUUUAUGUUCCCAUAUAUGCUGAUGUGUGUUCAGGGGUGCCAUUUUGAGCAGGCAGGCAUAGCCGAAAGUUCUAAAAGAGUGCAAAUCAUGUGGCUUGCUGCUUGACUAAUUGAACACCUUCUGCUGCUACUGUAGGACAAGGUUUCCUUCUUUUAUUCCUCGUGUUGCUAUUUCCAUUUUCAUAUAGGAGUACUAGAUGAGGUGCUGCUAGUCUUCUAGAUUGCAUAGCAUAACUCCAGAAUCUUGUCAUUGCACACCUGGGCAUAUGAUUCUGCUGUGAGCAUAAUUCCAGAGUUUAUUUAUCUGUGAAAGCACGCUCAUCACACGAUUCUUAUCAAUGCUGCUCACUUUUGUCAUGUCCCUUUUGUUUGUCCUGUUAAAUUUUAUGGAGCAAAUUUCGUACUCACUCUAGUUGAAAUAUCAAGAACGCUGACUUCUGUAUUUGUCACUAUGUAAGCCAUGCACUUGGGAAGCCUGGGCGUGAUUAGGAUUUGGAUUGCAUAUAGAUUUUAUGCUAUGUUUGUUUAUAACCUGGUUGUAACCUAAUAUAGUGUGAAUCUGCUAAUUUUUUAAUUUAAUUUAUGUUCAACGCAAGGAGGUUUUGUUCGUAAGUCGUAUUUCUUUUGCGUGUGCAUGAACAUUCACGCUGUCAAUUUUUCUUAUCAUAAUCAUUUACCGUGGUGUUUGACAAUACAUUUCUACUGUUCUUUGUUCCCUUUUGAGGUUCACUAACUCAAUUAUGCAUGAGAUAUGAUAUCAAUUACUGCUGUCCAGUCACUGAAAUAAUGCUUUUCUUGCUUUGCCUAGACUUUGUGACAAGAAUAAGCAUGUGUCUCUGUGCCUACAAACUUGUGGGUAGUGCUGUAGUGAUGAUGAUCUAACUAGCUUCCUGUUUUCAGGAAUGAAGAUCUGAAUUACCCUCACCCCUCUACAGAAAUCAGUUUACUCAUUCGGUUUCUGGAACUUCUUUAUAGCUUUCUGAGUUUACUUCGUUCUUGCAUCUAUUAGCUUUCUGUUUGUACCCUUAUCUAUGUUUCUUUGUGUGUUUCUUGUGUGCAAGCGAUCCAUUGUGUGUGUCUGACUGUGUGUGUGAUGUGCCCCUGUCUAUGUUUGUUUCUUUGUCUGUUUCAUGUGUGCAAGUGCUCCAUUAUCUGUGUGUGACUGUGUUUGACUGCUUGGAUGUGGUGAUUCUGAUUGUGUUACUGUGCUUAUAUGGUCUGUCCAAUUGGUUUCUUAUUCAUGCUUUGCUUGUGUUCCAAUGUCGUCUCCCCAUAUAUGGGGAUGUGUUCAGGGAUGCAAACCAUUUAGGCCGUUUCGAGCAGGCAGGGAUCCAGAGAUGUGCACUGGUCAGGCCUCUCUUGCUGAUAGAUGAUGAUAGGCUGAGCAGAAAAGUUUGACUCUUGUAACACUCACUUGCUUGGCUUCCACUCCUUUGUGUGGCCGAUUUGGCAUCCAAUGCAUCUCAUGCCUAUCUUAUAUAUCUCACUCACUCAUCACAGCAUCCUUUUCCCUGUUUUUGUUCCUUUUUUUCUUAUCAUAAUAAUCAUGUAUACCGUGGUGUUUGACAAUACAUUUUUUGUGAUAUCUGUGUUUCGUUAUCUCUUAUGUGGAUAUCAUAUUCUUUUUUUGUAUUACUGCUGUCCAUUCACUGGAAUAAUGCUUUUCUAAGUAUUUCAGGUAGGAUAUAAACAAAUGUCACAUUUGCUCUUCCUUGUGUUGCUAAGGACACUGAUGAGUUACAGCGCAGGACCGGUAAUUCUGAUAGUAUGCCAAGGACUGCUCAGGGUUCCUAUCGCUUUCUGUUUUACCAACUAAGGUAAUCGAAUUUUGAUCUUCAGCUUGCAAAUUUAUCACCUUAUGGGAGGGAAAGGUUUGCAUGUACAUGAGCUCUGAUUAUCUACAUAUAUACUUGAAUUGCUUUGGAUUUGUUGGACUGCUAUUCUACAUGAUGUUCUCCAUGAUUCACUUGAUCAGUAUUUUCCUGGUGAGUUCUUUAGGGUCAUCUUGUGACACAAAAUACAAUUUUGGUACGUGCAGACUCUGAAAUUUGGUGAUAAAGAAAAGGUACCUCCUAAUUUGCUCUCUGGCUCUCUUACACUUGUCUUUGUUUAUAUGACAGUAGUGGCCUCCUGGCUGGUAGUUGGGUAAUGCAGAGAGAGUUUGGAAUUGAAGAACUAAAAUAAUGCAGAGUUGAAGGUUCUGAACGGGAAGCUUGAACAAAUAGUUUACCUUUUCUCAUGUCUUUGAUUAGUUUCAUCCUAUCUAUGUCUGUUUCUUGUGUGCAAGCACUCCAUUGUGUCUGUGUGACUGUGUGUGACUGACUGUUUGUGUGUGUUUCUUUGUCCGUUUCUUGUGUGCAAGCGCUCCAUUGUGUGUGUGCUUUUGUGUUGACUGUGACUGUGUGUCGUUUUAUGACUGUGACUGUGUAUUGAUUGUGACUGUGUAUGUGUGUGUGUUGACUGUGACUGUGUGUCAUUGUGCAAGCGCUCCAUAACUACCUAUUGGCACCUGAUAAUGCAUGGAAAUUUCUAUAAGGUCAUGGGCAUGUAAUUUUAUGACCUACAUACCUCUGUAGUUGGUAGUAUCAAUUGCCCUUUGGACACUCUUAAAUUCAUUGCUGUAUAUUUUCCUGCCACAAGUAUGAUGUUUGUGCUCAGAAUGAUGUAUAUAUAGAAUCCAGGGUGGAUGGAGGUUUUCAUAAUGGCUAAUUUGAUUUGUUAUGGUUCUGAUGGUGUGCUUCUUGUGUUUGAACUGAAGCUGUGGAUCACUCAUCAACCUGGUAUGUGUUUGUAUGGUAAUCCUUCUCGAAUUUAACUCCUUCCAAUUUUGUACACAAUAUUUUUCUUACGGCCGGUAAUACUUUAUGAAUGCAUAUCCCACAUUUUAGCUAGUAAUAUAGUAACGCCAUACUUCUUUGGACGUUGUUCUGUAUAUGCAAUUGUGGUGAGCUCACAUAUUGUGUCAGUAUCUACCUAUGCAGCUGAAUUAUUUCCGGAUAGGACAGAGGUGCAAUGCUUACAUCCAUGGCAGAAGGUUCUUUAACACUGAACUCAUCAAAGGUCCUUGGACUCAAGAGGAAGAUGACAAAAUUAUUGACCUUGUAAACAAGUAUGGACUAACAAAAUAGUCUCAUUGCAAGGUCAGCUUCCAGAACUUCCUGCUGCUGAUCCUGGGAUGUUUCCGAACAUGCUCCUGAACAUGUUCAAUUUAUCCGCCCUAGUACAGCCACUGCCAUGACACAGCAGGUUACUCGGCAUGCUCGGCGUGUUUACUUCGGUGGACUUCCUCCGAUCACUAAUGAACAGACGGUUGCUCUAUUCUUCAAUCAAGUUAUGGCUGCUAGGGAAACACAUUUGGUCUAGGUGGCAUAAUCAUCUGAAUCCAAACAUAUGGAACGAUGCUUGGACUACUGAGGAGGAACAUGCACUGAUUAAUGCCAUCAGGUAUUUGGGAAUAAAUGAGCAGAAAUAGCAAAAGUUAUUCCUGGAAGGUACUGCAUGCCAAACAACUUACAUCAUGGGUCUUGCUUGUAGUAUUUGCUUUCUGUUUGUGUCCUUUCUAUCUCUUGUGUGUGUGACUGACUAUGUGUGACUGUGACAGUGUAUGUGUGACUGACUCUGUGUGACUGUUACUGUGUGUGUGACUGAAUCUGUGUGUGACUGUGACUCUCUGUGUGACCGGACUGUGUGUGUGUGUUUGAAUUAAUAUUGCAUUUGCUUGAUGGUGUGUGCUGUAUGCUUUGCUUGGUGUGUCCUGUAUGCUUUGCUUGAUGGUGUGUCCUGAAUGCUUUGCUUGUGUGUGUUUGAAUUAAUAUUGCAUUUGCUUGAUGGUGUGUGCUGUAUGCUUUGCUUGAUGGUGUGUCCUGUAUGCUUUGCUUGUGUGUGUGUUUGAAUUAAUAUUGCAUUUGCUUGAUGGUGUGUCCUGUAUGCUUUGCUUGAUGGUGUGUCCUGAAUGCUUUGCUUGAAUGAUUGGUGUUGUUUGUUUUGUUUGU